GAAUACUACGAGCGCGUCAAGAGUGGUUGACGGAUGUGGUUCGAACUCGGAGCCUUGCAGGUUGGAAGCUCAAGCAUGAAAGUGAGUUUUCGCCACUUUCGCUUGAAAAUCCAUUUGUCUUGUAUACAAAAAGCGGCAGUUGCCACAAGGGCAGGGAUCGGGUUUGCUUCCAAUAGCAAAGCUUGGUGUUCAAAGCAAUCAUUUUUUCCCUACUUUAUUCAUUCAUUAUCAUCUCCGAUCACUUCACCCCUAUUUUCUGACUCAUUCACCCACAAUUCAGAGAGGGGGGAGAGAGAGAGAUAGAUUAGAGAGAAGGGAAAAGCCAGUUGUGCUGUGUAUUUGUGCUUUCCACCAAGUUCGCCUUUUUCUGGGACCGUGAAAUCCUUCCGCCUCUCUUAGGCAAGUGGGUCCUUUCCUUGUGGCCCUACUCUCCCACUUGCUGCUCCCUCCCUCCCUCUCUCUGCUCUCUUAGCCUCUGCUUACCUGCUGGUCUCUUUCUUUUCUUUAAUUGUUCUCUUCGUACUCCUCCUGUCUCUUCUAUUUUUGUGCUCUGCUUCCCAGUACCAAAAGGAAGAUCCUUUCUUUUCCCAAUCUGGAUGCGCAAUAGUCUGUGUUUUAUUGCUUCGUAAAGGUGACGCGCACUUUACAGAGCUUCUGAAAUUGGGGUAGCUUCGUAUGGUUUGUUGGGGUAUUUCAGGAUCUUCUCCCUAGUGGGAUUUACUUGUCCUGUGAAAAGGAGUCUGUUCCCUUUCAAUUCAAGCUUAUAUAUAUCACCGUGAUUCUCUUUGCUUUGGUGGGUGCUGCUUGAAAGUUGAAAUGAUUCAUGGUGUUCUUUAGAUUUCAAAGUUCUGUCGUGGCUUUCUGAACAAUUUAUCAGAUGCCUUUCUCCGAGACGUAGCGGUUUUGAUUUCAUGCUUGGUCCAAGACAAUGGAGAGGUUGCUACUCCUUUAGUAUUCAAUACGGUAUCUUAGUGAAAAGAUAUGAAGAACAUUCUCAAGAAGCUUCAUAUCAUGCCCCAUCAAUCAGAAGAUACUGAAGGGUCUACUUCAUCAAGAGGAAGCAAGUCCCACGAUGGUUCAUCCCCUAAGAAGCUUUCUCACUCUCGGUCUCCUCAAGUUCCUGAGAAUAAACCCUUUUCAGGGCUCUCGAAUUGGUUGCAUGCAGUUGCGAAUAAGCAGAGUCCCAGUUCUCCAUCUUCGAACCUCACAAGAGGAGAGAGAACAGAACCGUCUGAUUCAAUGAGCAGUGGUGGUCUGGACACUGUUUCUGAUUCUGCGAGGUGUGAUACAGCUUCUAGCACUUCGAAGGAUCCUGAAAUCGAGGAAGAGUAUCAGAUUCAACUGGCUUUAGAGUUGAGUGCAAAGGAGGAUCCUGAGGCCGUGCAAAUUGAAGCUGUCAAGCAAAUCAGUUUAGGCUCUUGUGACCCUGACAAUACACCUGCUGAAGUUGUGGCCUAUCGAUACUGGAAUUACAAUGCUCUUGGGUAUGAUGACAAGAUUUUAGAUGGUUUCUAUGACCUUUAUGGGAUCUUGACUGAGUCGACCUCUGCAAGAAUGCCUCCCCUCGUAGAUCUGCAAGGGACGUCAAUCUCAGAUAGUGUCACAUGGGAAGCAGUCUUAGUCAAUAGGGCUGCCGAUUCUAAUUUGUUAAAACUUGAGCAAAAAGCUUUAGAGCUGGCAAGCAAGUCAAGAUUAGAAAUUGAAAUAGUAGCAAAUGGUAAUUUGGUGCAGAAGCUUGCCGUAUUAGUGGCUGACUAUAUGGGUGGACCGGUUGCAGAUCCUCAACAUAUGACAAGUGCGUGGCAGAGUCUUAGUUAUAGCUUGAAAUCAACCCUUGGCAGCAUGGUUUUGCCACUUGGUUCUCUGACCAUUGGAUUGGCACGGCACCGUGCAUUGCUAUUUAAGGUUUUAGCUGAUUGUGUGGGUGUUCCUUGUCGGAUGGUCAAAGGACAGCAAUACACGGGUUCUGAUGGUGUGGCAAUGAACUUCAUCAAGAUUGAUGAUGGAAGGGAGUACAUUGUUGACCUAAUGGCUGAUCCUGGAACACUUAUUCCAGCUGAUGCAACUGGAUCGCAUGUUGAGUUUAACGAACCUAUAUUUUCAGCCACUCCUACAACAGGAGUUGAUUCGUCUCCUGCAACAUUGUCUGGCAGAGGUAUUGGAAGUUCAAUGGAAGGAGCUUCAGACUCUGGGGCAUUGGACAAUUCAAAUAAAUCAAAGCAGUUUGCCUAUGCAGGAUCUGAAAAAAGCAGGCCCGCUCCUGGCAAGGAAGAAUCAAAAAGACACUUGUAUACUUUCAAGAGUCCCGUCAAUGUUGAGAAGAUUGCGCUAGAAACUCCCAGUAGGCCUAAUUAUACACAUGGACAUGCAAGAUCACCUUCUUGGACUGAAGGGAUCAGUUCCCCUGCAGUUCGUAGAAUGAAGGUUAAAGAUGUUUCACAAUAUAUGAUGGAUGCUGCCAAAGAUAAUCCUAACUUGGCUCAGAAGCUUCAUGAUGUUUUACUUGAAAGUGGUGUUGUUGCUCCUCCAAACUUGUUUUCUGAGAUUUAUAAUGAGCAACUUGAUGCUCCAUCACUGACUGAAGAAAAAGACGAACCUAAACAGGAGAUUGUCCAGCAAGAAACUCAGGUUGCUGAUAACCUAGGCCCUGUUCAAAUUUUGCCUCCUUUGCCUCACUACAGAUUUCAUCCCAAAGCCAGUACCAGCAGUCAGCCUGAGCCUUCUAAGCCUGUAGAAGGUUUAGGGGCCAACCUUACUCUUGAUGCAAGGGAAGCAGCUGGUCAGCACAUACCAUCACAAGAAGAAGCUGGUCCUGUGAAAUAUGGGAAAAAUGUCCCAGUUGCUGCAGCAGCAGCUGCUGCUGCAGCUGUUGUUGCAUCUUCCAUGGUAGUUGCUGUGGCAAAGUCAAGCAGUGACUCAAAAAUUGAGCUUCCUGUGGCAGCUGCUGCAGCUGUUGUUGCAACCACUGCAGCUGUCAGUAAACAGUAUGAGCAGGGAAGUCGAAGUGAUGGAGAUACAGAUGGUGUUUAUGAGCCAAAGGGUAGUGGUGAUGGAGAGCAUGUUAAUUUAGGGGAAAACACAGGUGAGAGAAUAUCUGAUAAAUCAGUAAGUAAUGAAAGCACAAAAUCUGAUCCUGCACUAGAUGAUGUUGCUGAAUAUGAGAUUCCAUGGGAGGAAAUGGUGCUGGGUGAGCGUAUUGGACUUGGAUCAUAUGGGGAGGUGUACCAUGGUGAAUGGAGAGGAACUGAAGUUGCUGUAAAAAGGUUUCUAGAUCAAGAUAUAUCUGGUGAAUCACUUGAAGAAUUCAAAAGCGAGGUUCAAAUAAUGAAAAGAUUGAGGCAUCCAAAUGUUGUUCUCUUCAUGGGAGCUGUAAUUCGUCCUCCGAAUCUUUCCAUUGUUACAGAAUUUCUUCCCAGAGGCAGUUUGUAUAGAUUAAUUCACCGACCUAACAACCAAUUAGACGAGCGAAGGCGAUUGAGGAUGGCCCUUGAUGCUGCUCGAGGAAUGAACUAUUUGCACAACUGCUCUCCAAUGAUAGUCCAUCGUGAUUUGAAGUCCCCAAAUCUUCUUGUUGACAAAAACUGGGUUUUGAAGGUUUGCGAUUUUGGGUUAUCACGAAUGAAGCAUAGUACAUUCCUCUCUUCCAGAUCAACUGCUGGGACUGCGGAGUCGAUGGCUCCAGAAGUGUUAAGAAAUGAACCUUCAGAUGAAAAGUGUGAUGUUUAUAGCUUUGGAGUCAUAUUAUGGGAGCUCAUGACGCUGCAGCAGCCGUGGGGAGGAAUGAAUCCAAUGCAAGUUGUUGGUGCUGUUGGUUUCCAACAUCGCCGUCUUGACAUUCCUGACAAUAUGGACCCUGCUGUUGCUGAUAUUAUCUGGAAAUGCUGGCAGACAGAUCCAAGGCUGAGACCCACAUUUGCCGAGAUCAUGGCUGCACUGAAGCCGUUACAGAAGCCGAUUGUCGGUUCUCAUGUGGCCAAGUCUGGUGCACAGUCAAAGCGAGUUGCAGAAGAUGCAGCAGGAUGAGGAGACAAUUGUACAGCUAACUGAAUAUUUGUUCAUUCUAUUGCCAAAGAAAAAAAGGGCAAGCUGUAAAGUAUCACGAAUGAGCAUAAAAGAAGGGGGGAAAAGAUGAAGAUUGAUUGAAGACCAUGACCUAACAUGCGUUCUCAUACUAGGUUGUGAUUCUUUUCACUUUUUUAGUUCCAGUUUAUCUUGUGCAAUCUGUGGUGCAGCCAUUGUCAAGGUUUUGUCAUUUGUUUGUACAAAAUUCUUUUGGAUAUUGCAAUCAAUGCCUAAAUUUUGGUGUGUAUAGAUAAUUCAUGUUUCAACAGAAGCUGCUGCCACAUAGUUGAAGAAAAGUAACUGUGACAGAAACUGUUUGGUGCUGUCAAUUGACAAACACAGAUGUUGGUAAAAUGAAAUUAUGCAGUUUGUUCAAAUGCUUGUAGAAUGGUGCAAUAAUUUCUCCAUUCCAAGUACACGACGCUUCAUUUACAACGUAAAUUCAUUGAUUCUACCUGGAAAAUCUUCGUUGGAGUAAUGCUGCUUUAGACAGUACUGUGAUGUUGGAUCUCAACUACACUGUGAUUCUCCCAGAAAAUCUUCAUUGAUCACUCUUGUUUCAAGUAGUUUUUUUCUUUGGGCCAUGCUCUUUUGUUUUACGUAGUUAACUGAGGUUAAGUGUUAUAAUACAUGUACUCAACUGUUAUGACCCAUGACCAACUUAUAUUUCUCUUUUUAAAUUCCAAA